GUUUGUUUAACUUGCAGAUUCUAUUGCCCUUUUGUUUCUUGGGUCACUUCAGUUUAUAUGUAUUUAACAUGAACACCAGAAGCAUCUAUAUAAUGGACUCCAUGCCUCUACCAUCAUGGUUUAAGGGUAACGAUCCAAGCAUGCAUUAUAUUCACAAAAUACAUAAUAUUGCCAAUAAUAUGAAUGUUGCCAUGGAAUUGGCUAAUUCUACAUGGAAGGACGAUAUUUAUAUGUGGCGUCGUAUAGUACCAUCAUGGGUUCCAAAAACAUUAAACUGGGAUUUAUCAGGCUUUCUUGUUAUCAAUUUUAUGCACUCGUGGAAUGGUAAAAGGUUACCCUGCAUUUCCACUACUUCAAGUGUACUGAGGACCAAAUUCUUGGUAGAGUUGAUGAAGUACCAGGAGAAUGAAUGUAAUGACAAUAUUCCAGAAGAAAUACAAAAGAUUAUUAAGCGC
rnacentral:misc_RNA from 1 species